UUUUGUGAGAAGUGUGAAUUGACACUCUUAACUGUGACAACUGGGCUUUCGACUACUGGGGAAAAGGCACUAUGGUUACAGUGUCAUCAGCCACUCCAACUGCACCAACUGUGUUUCCUCUGAUGCAAUGUGAUUCUGGGACCGGAGACAUGGUCACUCUUGGCUGCCUUGCCACCGGCUUCACACCCUCCUCAGUGACCUACGCAUGGAACAAAGUAAAUGGGGCUGCCUUGACAGACUUCAUUCAGUACCCUGCGGUGCAGAAGGGCAACGUUUAUAGUGGAGUCAGUCAAAUCCGAGUGAGGAGACAGGACUGGGACGCAAUGGAGACUUUCAAAUGUGCCGUGGCGCAUGCAUCAGGACAGCCACAAGAGUGUAUUUUCCGAAAGCCAGCGGUGCCUUGUUAUCCGCCAACCCUUAGUGUGUUGGCCUCCUCUGAUGAGGGAGACGAGGCUUCCUUCUCCUGCUUUGCCAAAGAUUUUUCACCAAAAGAGUAUGAGAUCAAAUGGCUGAAAAAUGAAGAAGAAAGAUUCAGCAAAAUAGAAGAGAUCCAUACACAUUUUGAGGGAAGAAAGGACAAUGAUGGAGCUACACGGUACAGCGCAGCAAGUUUUCUCACGAUGAAAUCCAAUGAGCUGGAUUUAAACACUCAGGUUACAUGCGAGUUUAAAGGGAAACAUAGUAAGUGUACUACACUGAUGAAUUCAACUGUGAUCUACCAACCAAACAUUUCACCUGCAAGGGAAGCAUGUCUUGAAGCAGAUAUGGAGGUAGAUAUCAUAGGACCCACAAUGGAGGACAUGUUUUCACGUGAAGGAAAAGGAAACAUAACAUGUCGGGUCAAGGUAAACAAAGGAUCCGUCAAUGACAUUUCAUGGGAGACCCACAAUGGACGCACAAUACUUCAUCCUUCAGUAGCCUCCCUUAAAGGAAAAAAAGAAUUUAGCACUUCAAUUCCCAUCACGUAUGACGAAUGGAGCCAGGGGACAAAGUUUGUCUGCAAAGUGCUACAUGACAAUUGGAUUGAACCACUUAAGAAAACCUACGGAAAGCCUAUCGGAGGAAAGAUUCAGCGUCCUUCAGUGUUUAUGCUACCUCCACUAGAACAUACUAAAAAGAAUAUGGUGACCCUGACUUGCUAUGUGAAAGACUUCUUCCCUCGGGAGGUUUUCGUUUCUUGGCUUGUUGAUGACGAGGAAGCAGGCUCAGAAUUUGAGUUCCAUACCACAAAUCCUGUAGAAAACCAUGGAUCCUAUUCUGCUUAUGGCCAGUUAACUCUCACCCUUGAGCAGUGGCAAAACAGUGAAAUGGUGUAUAGCUGUGUAGUUCACCAUGAGUCUGUGGUUAACACAUCUAAAGCUAUUGUCAGGUCCAUCGGGCAGAGAACAUGUGAAAAAACCAACCUGGUCAACCUCAACUUGAACAUCCCUGAAACGUGCAAGGCCUAGUAGACGUCAUUCUGUGUCGUUGUGUCUUCUGCUGUUUGUUGUUUAAUGUUUGUUGCUUGUGAUUUGACAUUGUGUUUGUCUUUUUAAUGCAGAUUCAAAAUAAAAAAUAAAAAAAA